GCCCCGGUGGCGGAACUGGCAUACGCGCACGCUUGAGGUGUGUGUCCCUCACGGGUCGGAGGUUCGAAUCCUCUCCGGGGCA
rnacentral:tRNA from 1 species